CCACUACUCAAAAUUUCUGGCUCCGUCCCUGCCUACAAGUUAUGUUUGAUUAAUUUGGAUGUUUUGGUGUAUUUGUGCUAUUUGGGCAUUGUGGUUGUAUUGAAGGUUUAAUCUAAUUGAGGAUUAUGGACAAGGCCAUGGGUAAUUAGACUUUUUGAAAGAUCAAGUUUUAUGGAGGGUUUUAGGUUUAGGAGUCGACUUUGGUCAACUGGUUGACCAAAAAGUCAACAUUUGGUUAGAGUCAACUAUAAGCCAAAACUUGUAAUUUUUGUGUAGAGUUUGUAACUUGGAUUUUGAAUGAUGUAAUGAAUGACUUGAUGAUUUGUAAUGUUUGAAAGUUUGUAAUGAAAUGAUGUAACUUAUUUUUCAAGAAAC
rnacentral:lncRNA from 1 species